rnacentral:rRNA from 1 species
AAGGCUUACGGUGGAUACCUAGGCACCCAGAGACGAUGAAGGGCGUAGCAAGCGACGAAAUGCUUCGGGAGUUGAAAAUAAGCAUAGAUCCGGAGAUUCCCGAAUGGGUCAACCUUUCGAACUGCUGUUGAAUCCAUGGGCAGGCAAGAGACA